CUUAGUAAUCACAACAAACCCAUUAUUUCAUUUUCUCUUUAAUCUUCCCCACUCUUCAUCCUAAAAAUCCUUGUUUUGCUAACGUGCGCUGAUUUUCACCACGAAAGCCCUUAAUCCACACCCACACAAAUGAAAAUCAGAUCGCCAUUAUCACCACAAGAUCUGACCCCCCUCCAAACAACAGCUCAACAAACUCUCCCUGCUCCACCAGCACAUCUAUCCACUAACCCACAGCGUGUACCACCACCACCCGGCAUGCAUCUCUCUCCCCAUUUCAUGCCGAGAAGAUCUUAAGAUUUGAGGAGGAAGAAAAGGCAAAAACAGUUUUCAGAUUUUAAAUUCCUUUGCUUUUUUUUACAACAAAUAUGGCUUUAUAGAGUGAAGAGUUUAGGUUUUCUGUUUUCAUGUUGCAAAUGGGUUCACAGUAAAAGGCUAAAACGAUGACGUUUUACUUGUGUGUGUGUGUGUGUAAAUAGCCGAGUCUCAUCUGGGUUUACCCGGGUCUUAUGGGCCCCGGGUCAACCCUUCGGAUCGAUGGGGUUUUACUAGCCAAAUUCCUGGCAGGUUUUUUUAAAACCCGGUCCGGUUCUAGUCCCGGGUCAACCCGUCAAGCCAAGAUGGGUUUUAAAACUAUGCCUAAAAGGAUCAUAGCUUCAUUGUUGACCAAGACAUAAAGAUGUAAUAUGAUCUGCUUUUCACAGUC
rnacentral:lncRNA from 1 species